AUUGAACGCUGGCGGCAGGCCUAACACAUGCAAGUCGAACGGUAGCACAGAGAGCUUGCUCUCGGGUGACGAGUGGCGGACGGGUGAGUAACGUCUGGGAAACUGCCCGAUGGAGGGGGAUAACUACUGGAAACGGUAGCUAAUACCGCAUAACGUCGCAAGACCAAAGUGGGGGACCUUCGGGCCUCACACCAUCGGAUGUGCCCAGAUGGGAUUAGCUAGUAGGUGGGGUAAUGGCUCACCUAGGCGACGAUCCCUAGCUGGUCUGAGAGGGUGACCAGCCAAACUGGAACUGAGACACGGUCCAGACUCCUACGGGAGUGAGCAGUGGGGAAUAUUGCACAAUGGGCGCAAGCCUGAUGCAGCCAUGCCGCGUGUAUGAAGAAGGCCUUCGGGUUGUAAAGUACUUUCAGCGGGGAGGAAGGCGGUGAAGUUAAUAGCUUCACCGAUUGACGUUACCCGCAGAAGAAGCACCGGCUAACUCCGUGCCAGCCGCCGCCGUAA
rnacentral:rRNA from 1 species